rnacentral:rRNA from 1 species
CCCUUAGAUGUUCUGGGCCGCACGCGCGCUACACUGACGAUGGCAACGAGUUUUUCCUUCGCCGAAAGGUGUGGGUAAUCUUUUGAAACAUCGUCGUGCUGGGGAUAGAUCAUUGCAAUUUUUGAUCUUGAACGAGGAAUUCCUAGUAAGCGCGAGUCAUCAGCUCGCGUUGAUUACGUCCCUGCCCUUUGUACACACCGCCCGUCGCUACUACCGAUUGAAUGGUUUAGUGAGGUCUCCUGAUUGGCGCCGCCGCCCCGGCAACGGAGCAGCGGACUGCCGAAAAGUUGUUCAAACUUGAUCAUUUAGAGGAAGUAAAAGUCGUAACA